AACUUUCAGCAAUGGAUCUCUUGGCUCUCGCAUCGAUGAAGAACGCAGCGAAAUGCGAUAAGUAAUGUGAAUUGCAGAAUUCAGUGAAUCAUCGAAUCUUUGAACGCAUCUUGCGCUCCUUGGUAUUCUGAGGAGCAUGCCUGUUUGAGUGUC
rnacentral:rRNA from 2 species